rnacentral:rRNA from 1 species
AAAUCAUGGCAUCUUCAGAUCACGAGGACGUGAAACCGGUAGGAUGGAAACGGAUAGAGCCAACGAACAAGCUCGUAUUCAGCUAGUCUGCUGCGUGCGGCAUGCUUGUGCAUCCCGUAAGGGAGCAUAGGUGUGUGCAGUAUGCGGUUGGCUAGUGCAUUUGCUAUUGAUGUGCGCUGAGGCGUGUGAUGGAAUCCUGCCAACCGUCUCAACAGGCCAGGCCUGCGGGUCUGAAACCUAAACGCGGGUAGUAUGGUUUCCGCUGCAUGUAGACGUUGCGGCUAGGUCCUUCCUGCUUAUGGGCUGCGCGGUUUGUUCUCUGGUCAGUCGCAUGCGACUUGUCCUUAGGGCAGGCCUCCGUACCCUAGAAGUGCCCUGGCUGAUUCUCGGUGUAAAAGUUGGUCAUCUCUCCGACCCGUCUUGAAACACGGACCAAGGAGUCUAGCGUGUACGCGAGUCAUUGGGUGGAAAACCCAUAGGCGCAAUGAAAGUAAAGGAACAGCAAUGUUCUGAUAUGCGAUCCGUUACACUACGGUGUACGCGGAGCAGCAUAGCCCCGUCUUGACUGCUUGCAGUACGGCGGAGGUAAAGCGUAUUCGCUGGUACCCGAAAGAUGGUGAACUAUGCCUGAGCAGGAUGAAACCAGAGGAAACUCUGGUGGAGGUCCGAAGCGCUUCUGACGUGCAAAUCGAUCGUCUGACUUGAGUAUAGGGGCGAAAGACUAAUCGAACCAUCUAGUACUGGUCCCUUUUCCAAAAUCGAAAAACCCGG